AUGGGGCAUUUGGAGAGGACGGGAAGCAAAAGGGUGGAAGGAGGACCAGUCAGUUCAACAGUUUCAAGGACUUCAGCAACAAAUUUCUAUGAGAGGAAAAAGAAGAAUAUUGUUAGUUUCUUAGGUAAGCCUCUUGUUUAUCCAUCUAGUGCUAUGCUUAUUAAAUUCGAUAUAUCUCUGAGACUGAUGACAUACAGAUCUUGUUUGUUUGUCGACAUGAGAAGGCAGACGAAGCCACGCAGAAUAAGUUACAGACUCUUCAACUGUAAGCUGUGGGGAAUGUAUGUCGACUUGUUCGCAGUAACCCAAGAUUCUGACAAAUGUUUCCUGCACCUUGGGAUAUCCACCUAUUCUUAUGUCCCCUUCAAUAUAACCUCCUGUUUUCCUUCCUGCUAA
rnacentral:rRNA from 1 species